AACAAUCCAUAUUGUGAGUUUGGUUUUGCUAUGAUGGAGCCUGGACUAACUUGGGCUAAUACUCUUUAUCCAUUUAAUUAGAGGUCUUCAAAAGAAAGAAUAGAGUUAUGAACCAAAUGCAGAGGGAACUGAAACCUUGAGGAUGAUUUGUGAGCUAAAAUGAAUUCUACUGAAUUAUCUGGAUAAUUGCCUCAUAAUUAUCUACCUGGCUCCAUGGAGAUCAACUUCACCUUCAAUGAGGCUGCAGACUCCUCCAGAAAAUGCAUUGGGUUAUUCUGGGAAUCUGUGGUCUUUUAUGAAGUUCUCAUUGCCCCCAUCCAUUGCUGUGUAUUAAUCGCCAUCCUGAGCAUCAAAUCACCUCAAGAAUUAUAAACGGUUUGGCAAAAAAAGGAAUCAAAACUGGAAAAUCGGAAUGACAAAUGCAGAUCUGACAGACUUUAAAGAAAGAAGAAUAAAGAGACACGUGUGGAAGGCACAGUGCUGCAGUUUCUCUACAUCACAGGAAGAGUCAUGCUCUGGUCUACUUCAUUCUCAAUGAGGUAUAAGAAAUCAAGGAAGAAGAGUUAUCCAGACCCAAUAUGAGAUUAUACGGACAUAGGAAAUGGAAAUCAACUCAUGGGAGAAACAGGCAUCGAGAGGAAAAAUAAAUGCAGUGGUGC